rnacentral:rRNA from 1 species
GACGUAGGAUGCAAGCGUUGUCCGGAUUCAUUGGGCGUAAAGAGUUCGUAGGCGGUUUGUUAAGUCUGAUGUUAAAGACUGGGGCUCAACCUCGGAAAUGCAUUGGAUACUGGCAGACUGGAGUGCAGUAGAGGCAAGUGGAAUUCCCAGUGUAGCGGUGAAAUGCGUAGAUAUUGGGAAGAACACCGGUGGCGCAGGCGACUUGCUGGGCUGUAACUGACGCUGAGGAACGAAAGCUAGGGGAGCAAAUGGG